rnacentral:rRNA from 3 species
UUAAGCGACUAAGCGUACACGGUGGAUGCCCUGGCAGUCAGAGGCGAUGAAGGACGUGCUAAUCUGCGAUAAGCGUCGGUAAGGUGAUAUGAACCGUUAUAACCGGCGAUUUCCGAAUGGGGAAACCCAGUGUGUUUCGACACACUAUCAUUAACUGAAUCCAUAGGUUAAUGAGGCGAACCGGGGGAACUGAAACAUCUAAGUACCCCGAGGAAAAGAAAUCAACCGAGAUUCCCCCAGUAGCGGCGAGCGAACGGGGAGCAGCCCAGAGCCUGAAUCAGUGUGUGUGUUAGUGGAAGCGUCUGGAAAGGCGCGCGAUACAGGGUGACAGCCCCGUACACAAAAAUGCACAUGCUGUGAGCUCGAUGAGUAGGGCGGGACACGUGGUAUCCUGUCUGAAUAUGGGGGGACCAUCCUCCAAGGCUAAAUACUCCUGACUGACCGAUAGUGAACCAGUACCGUGAGGGAAAGGCGAAAAGAACCCCGGCGAGGGGAGUGAAAAAGAACCUGAAACCGUGUACGUACAAGCAGUGGGAGCACAGAGCAAUCUGUGUGACUGCGUACCUUUUGUAUAAUGGGUCAGCGACUUAUAUUCUGUAGCAAGGUUAACCGAAUAGGGGAGCCGAAGGGAAACCGAGUCUUAACUGGGCGUUAAGUUGCAGGGUAUAGACCCGAAACCCGGUGAUCUAGCCAUGGGCAGGUUGAAGGUUGGGUAACACUAACUGGAGGACCGAACCGACUAAUGUUGAAAAAUUAGCGGAUGACUUGUGGCUGGGGGUGAAAGGCCAAUCAAACCGGGAGAUAGCUGGUUCUCCCCGAAAGCUAUUUAGGUAGCGCCUCGUGAAUUCAUCUCCGGGGGUAGAGCACUGUUUCGGCAAGGGGGUCAUCCCGACUUACCAACCCGAUGCAAACUGCGAAUACCGGAGAAUGUUAUCACGGGAGACACACGGCGGGUGCUAACGUCCGUCGUGAAGAGGGAAACAACCCAGACCGCCAGCUAAGGUCCCAAAGUCAUGGUUAAGUGGGAAACGAUGUGGGAAGGCCCAGACAGCCAGGAUGUUGGCUUAGAAGCAGCCAUCAUUUAAAGAAAGCGUAAUAGCUCACUGGUCGAGUCGGCCUGCGCGGAAGAUGUAACGGGGCUAAACCAUGCACCGAAGCUGCGGCAGCGACGCUUAUGCGUUGUUGGGUAGGGGAGCGUUCUGUAAGCCUGUGAAGGUGUGCUGUGAGGCAUGCUGGAGGUAUCAGAAGUGCGAAUGCUGACAUAAGUAACGAUAAAGCGGGUGAAAAGCCCGCUCGCCGGAAGACCAAGGGUUCCUGUCCAACGUUAAUCGGGGCAGGGUGAGUCGACCCCUAAGGCGAGGCCGAAAGGCGUAGUCGAUGGGAAACAGGUUAAUAUUCCUGUACUUGGUGUUACUGCGAAGGGGGGACGGAGAAGGCUAUGUUGGCCGGGCGACGGUUGUCCCGGUUUAAGCGUGUAGGCUGGUUUUCCAGGCAAAUCCGGAAAAUCAAGGCUGAGGCGUGAUGACGAGGCACUACGGUGCUGAAGCAACAAAUGCCCUGCUUCCAGGAAAAGCCUCUAAGCAUCAGGUAACAUCAAAUCGUACCCCAAACCGACACAGGUGGUCAGGUAGAGAAUACCAAGGCGCUUGAGAGAACUCGGGUGAAGGAACUAGGCAAAAUGGUGCCGUAACUUCGGGAGAAGGCACGCUGAUAUGUAGGUGAGGUCCCUCGCGGAUGGAGCUGAAAUCAGUCGAAGAUACCAGCUGGCUGCAACUGUUUAUUAAAAACACAGCACUGUGCAAACACGAAAGUGGACGUAUACGGUGUGACGCCUGCCCGGUGCCGGAAGGUUAAUUGAUGGGGUUAGCGGUAACGCGAAGCUCUUGAUCGAAGCCCCGGUAAACGGCGGCCGUAACUAUAACGGUCCUAAGGUAGCGAAAUUCCUUGUCGGGUAAGUUCCGACCUGCACGAAUGGCGUAAUGAUGGCCAGGCUGUCUCCACCCGAGACUCAGUGAAAUUGAACUCGCUGUGAAGAUGCAGUGUACCCGCGGCAAGACGGAAAGACCCCGUGAACCUUUACUAUAGCUUGACACUGAACAUUGAGCCUUGAUGUGUAGGAUAGGUGGGAGGCUUAGAAGUGUGGACGCCAGUCUGCAUGGAGCCGACCUUGAAAUACCACCCUUUAAUGUUUGAUGUUCUAACGUUGACCCGUAAUCCGGGUUGCGGACAGUGUCUGGUGGGUAGUUUGACUGGGGCGGUCUCCUCCUAAAGAGUAACGGAGGAGCACGAAGGUUGGCUAAUCCUGGUCGGACAUCAGGAGGUUAGUGCAAUGGCAUAAGCCAGCUUGACUGCGAGCGUGACGGCGCGAGCAGGUGCGAAAGCAGGUCAUAGUGAUCCGGUGGUUCUGAAUGGAAGGGCCAUCGCUCAACGGAUAAAAGGUACUCCGGGGAUAACAGGCUGAUACCGCCCAAGAGUUCAUAUCGACGGCGGUGUUUGGCACCUCGAUGUCGGCUCAUCACAUCCUGGGGCUGAAGUAGGUCCCAAGGGUAUGGCUGUUCGCCAUUUAAAGUGGUACGCGAGCUGGGUUUAGAACGUCGUGAGACAGUUCGGUCCCUAUCUGCCGUGGGCGCUGGAGAACUGAGGGGGGCUGCUCCUAGUACGAGAGGACCGGAGUGGACGCAUCACUGGUGUUCGGGUUGUCAUGCCAAUGGCACUGCCCGGUAGCUAAAUGCGGAAGAGAUAAGUGCUGAAAGCAUCUAAGCACGAAACUUGCCCCGAGAUGAGUUCUCCCUGACUCCUUGAGAGUCCUGAAGGAACGUUGAAGACGACGACGUUGAUAGGCCGGGUGUGUAAGCGCAGCGAUGCGUUGAGCUAACCGGUACUAAUGAACCGUGAGGCUUAACCUU